rnacentral:rRNA from 1 species
GGUGGAGCAUGUGGUUUAAUUCGAAGAUACACGAAGAACCUUACCUGGCCUUGACAUGGUAGGAACCCUUAAGAGAUUAGGGGGUGCUAGCUUGCUAGAACCUACACACAGGUGCUGCACGGCUGUCGUCAGCUCGUGUCGUGAGAUGUUGGGUUAAGUCCCGCAACGAGCGCAACCCUCGUCCUUAGUUGCUAACAGUUCGGCUGAGCACUCUAGGGAGACUGCCUUCGCAAGGAGGAGGAAGGUGAGGACGACGUCAAGUCAUCAUGGCCCUUACGGCCAGGGCUACACACGUGCUACAAUGGGGCGUACAGAGAGCUGCGAUACCGCGAGGUGGAGCCAAUCUCUUAAAGCGUCUCUCAGUUCGGAUUGUUCUCUGCAACUCGAGAACAUGAAGCUGGAAUCACUAGUAAUCGCAGAUCAGCUAUGCUGCGGUGAAUACGUUCCCGGGUCUU